GGCUGGUCCAAAGGUGGUGAGACAUCUCAGUUGAUUGUUCACAGUCAGUUGCAGUUCGAACUCCCUGUUCUACUCUUCCCCCCCUUCUCACUAGUGCACUUGACUAGUCUUUA
ensembl:misc_RNA Y_RNA Y RNA